CGAUGAAGCUUCUCGCUUGCGGGGGGUGGAUUAGUGGCGAACGGGUGAGUAAUACGUGAGUAACCUGCCCCUGUCUUUGGGAUAAGCCUUGGAAACGGGGUCUAAUACUGGAUAUUCUGCUGUUCUCGCAUGGGGAUGGUUGGAAAGAUUUUUUGGAUGGGGAUGGGCUCACGGCCUAUCAGCUUGUUGGUGGGGUGAUGGCCUACCAAGGCUUCGACGGGUAGCCGGCCUGAGAGGGUGACCGGCCACAUUGGGACUGAGAUACNGCCCANACUCCUACGGGAGGCAGCAGUGGGGAAUAUUGCACAAUGGACGCAAGUCUGAUGCANCGACNCCGCGUGGGGGAUGAAGGCUUUCGGGUUGUAAACUCCUUUUAGCACUGAACAAGGCUUUUUUGGGUUGAGGGUAGGUGUUGAAUAAGCGCCGGCUAACUACGUGCCAGCAGCCGCGGUAAUACGUAGGGCGCGAGCGUUGUCCGGAAUUAUUGGGCGUAAAGAGCUCGUAGGCGGUUUGUUGCGUCUGCUGUGAAAGACCGGGGCUUAACUCCGGGGCUGCAGUGGGUACGGNCAGACUAGAGUGCGGUAGGGGUAACUGGAAUUCCUGGUGUAGCGGUGGAAUGCNCANAUAUCAGGAGGAACACCGAUGGCGAAGGCAGGUUACUGGGCUGUUACUGACGCUGAGGAGCGAAAGCAUGGGGAGCGAACAGGAUUAGAUACCCUGGUAGUCCAUGCCNUAAACGUUGGGCACUANGUGUGGGGCCUUAUCCACAGGUUCUGUGCCGUANCUAACGCAUUAAGUGCCCCGCCUGGGGAGUACGGCCGCAAGGUUAAAACUCAAAGGAAUUGACGGGNGCCCGCACAAGCGGCGGAGCAUGCGGAUUAAUUCGAUGCAACNCGAANAACCUUACCAAGGCUUGACAUGCACUGCGAUGUUCUAGAGAUAGGGCAG
rnacentral:rRNA from 1 species